GGCCCAAGGCCUGAGUACUUCCCCUUCGCCACCCCAAAGGGGAGCGGCAGGUUUUGCUGACGCUGCAACCGCCUCGACACGUCCGGUUCCCAAUUGAACGCCGUAAAGGAAAAAAGUGAGCGCAGCAGAAAGAAAAAAGAAAGAGAACAGGAGACGUUUUUUAUUUUCCUCUAUUUUAUUUUAUGUGUUUUCCUUCCGGUUCAUAGAAGGCGGAACACUCCCCUCCAAUGCCUGCCCCGCAGAGGUGGCUGGUGUCGAAGGAGCACCGGAAGUGAGGGCUGAGGGGCCCAUUUCCGCUAUGAAGCCUUAAGUCUCCUCACAGCAAUGGCGUCCGUAACGUCAAUGGCCUCCUCUAGGUGGCGCUGCCGCUGCUGCUGCUUGGCGUCUCCAUCGCUGGCCCUUGCUGCCCAAGGAAGGCAGCUUCCUUGGAGGAGGCAGACUUGGGAGCUUCCUGCCUUGGAAGGAGCACAGAAGCACCUCCUCAAGGCUCCCUGCGUGGCCUGGAAGGCAGAUGGCUGCCAUUGGCUGCCUGGUUCUUUCUCCCGCCUUGAGAAGGCCGUAAUCCUUCCACAGCGUCCACCGAAGUGGCCUCAGGGCCCCACGUCAUUCAAACCCGUUAUUAUAACCGUGCUGUUGCCAGCCUCAGCAGGGCCUUCAGGGGCCCCAGCGAGCGCCGUCUUGCCUCGUCCUUCAUGCUCUGGAACCCGGCUGCAAGGCCCCCAAAGCCUUUGCCUAGGCGCCGCCAUCUCGCCUUGGAGGGAAUGAUCUCCUCUUCGCUGGUCGCAGAGAGCGCCCCCUUCUGGCCUCAGAAAAAGUGAAGCAGCAGCAGCAGCAUCUUCUAAUCAAGCCUGAGACCUCUCUGCCAUCCAAGGAGGCGAUGCCUGUGGUGAUUGGCUUUGAGGGCAGUGCCAACAAGAUUGGAGUCGGGAUUGUGCGCGACGGAGAGGUCCUGAGCAAUCCGCGAAGAACAUACGUCACCCCUCCAGGGCAGGGUUUCCUGCCAGGUGACACAGCACGUCACCAUCGUUCCUGCGUCCUUGCCGUCCUCCAGGAGGCACUUCGUGAGGCUGGGCUGAAGCCGCAAGACAUAGAUGCAGUCGCUUUUACCAAGGGUCCGGGCAUGGGUGCCCCCUUAGUGACAGUGGCUAUCGUGGCCCGGACUGUGGCCCAAUUGUGGGGGAAGCCUCUGCUGGGAGUGAAUCACUGCGUGGGGCACAUUGAAAUGGGGCGGUUAGUGACCGGUGCUCAGAAUCCAACAGUCUUGUAUGUCAGUGGUGGAAACACUCAGGUCAUUGCAUACUCUGAGCGCCGAUAUCGGAUAUUUGGAGAAACCAUUGACAUUGCUGUGGGGAACUGCUUGGACCGUUUCGCCCGAGUGCUGAAGAUCUCAAAUGACCCCAGCCCAGGUUACAACAUUGAACAGAUGGCCAAGAAAGGCCAAAAGCUGGUUGAGCUUCCAUAUACAGUAAAAGGCAUGGAUGUGUCUUUCUCUGGGAUCUUAUCCCAUAUUGAGGAAGUGGCUCACAAAAUGUUAACUGCAGGAGAAUGUACCCCAGAGGAUCUUUGCUUUUCCCUACAGGAGACAGUCUUUGCAAUGCUGGUAGAGAUCACGGAACGAGCCAUGGCACACACUGGCUCUCAAGAGGCACUCAUUGUGGGAGGUGUUGGCUGUAAUGAGCGGCUGCAGGAAAUGAUGGAAAUCAUGUGCCAGGAGAGGGGAGCAAAGCUGUUUGCUACAGAUGAAAGAUUCUGUAUUGACAAUGGAGCCAUGAUUGCUCAAGCUGGCUGGGAGAUGUUCCAAUCAGGGCAAGUCACUGCACUUGAGGAUUCAUGGAUUACACAGAGGUGAUGAUGUUUUCCAUGCAAGGCUAGGGCUAUGGGGGAAGCUUGCUGUUUGAUGCAUUAAAAUAAAGAGCAGAGACAUUUGAUGUGUUAUAUGGGGGCGGGUGUGUCACCUAUUGUAUUUGCAGUACUGUAGCUUUCCCUUGUAAACUGUGAAAGAAAUAACUGUAAGUUCUUAGUUCAGUGAUUAAAUUAAAUUAAGGGCACUUGGCAUGUCCAAGCAGCAUAUUUCUGUGUUCAGUUUGUUCACUUCUGCUUCUUUCAUCCAAGUGACUAAAAAGAAAUGAAAACAUCCAAAAGGACAUAUGAACUGAAGAUCCUGGUUUGUUUCUCCUAAGCAAGUCAGGAUCCAUAAAUCAGUGGCAAAUUUUGGCUUGUUUAAGAGCAACAAAUCAAGAGUUCAGGAAGUUGUCAUAGAAAGCCUUCAGAUUCUGUUUUUACCCAUGAUCAGUUCUUCAAUCAACCAGAAGCAAUACAUAACUCUCUAUCUGCAGUUUUUCUCUCCUGUGUGUGAGACAAAGGAGGAAGGAGGAAAUACCUCCCAGCUGGGUGGCUGAAUGAAUGAAUGUAGGAUUGCAAGCUUGAAGUCUGU